GACGAACGCUGGCGGCGUGCUUAACACAUGCAAGUCGAACGGAAAGGCCCUGCUUUUGUGGGGUGCUCGAGUGGCGAACGGGUGAGUAACACGUGAGUAACCUGCCCUUGACUUUGGGAUAACUUCAGGAAACUGGGGCUAAUACCGGAUAGGAGCUCCUGCUGCAUGGUGGGGGUUGGAAAGUUUCGGCGGUUGGGGAUGGACUCGCGGCUUAUCAGCUUGUUGGUGGGGUAGUGGCUUACCAAGGCUUUGACGGGUAGCCGGCCUGAGAGGGUGACCGGCCACAUUGGGACUGGGAUACGGCCCAGACUCCUACGGGAGGCAGCAGUGGGGAUUAUUGCACAAGGGGCGAAAGCCUGAUGCAGCAACGCCGGGUGGGGAAUAACGGCCUUCGGGUUGUAACCGCUUUCGCCUGUGACGAAGCGUGAGUGACGGUAAUGGGUAAAGAAGCACCGGCUAACUACGUG
rnacentral:rRNA from 1 species